GAUGAACGCUGGCGGCGUGCCUAAUACAUGCAAGUCGAGCGAACGGACGAGAAGCUUGCUUCUCUGAUGUUAGCGGCGGACGGGUGAGUAACACGUGGAUAACCUACCUAUAAGACUGGGAUAACUUCGGGAAACCGGAGCUAAUACCGGAUGAUAUUUUGAACCGCAUGGUUCAAAAGUGAAAGACGGUCUUGCUGUCACUUAUAGAUGGAUCCGCGCUGCAUUAGCUAGUUGGUAAGGUAACGGCUUACCAAGGCAACGAUGCAUAGCCGACCUGAGAGGGUGAUCGGCCACACUGGAACUGAGACACGGUCCAGACUCCUACGGGAGGCAGCAGUAGGGAAUCUUCCGCAAUGGGCGAAAGCCUGACGGAGCAACGCCGCGUGAGUGAUGAAGGUCUUCGGAUCGUAAAACUCUGUUAUUAGGGACGAACAUAUGUGUAAGUAACUGUGCACAUCUUGACGGUACCUAAUCAGAAAGCCACGGCUAACUACGUG
rnacentral:rRNA from 1 species